rnacentral:rRNA from 1 species
GGUGGUGGCCAAAGCUCUUUGUCAAAGCCUGAUCUCGUCAUAUCUCAGAGGCUAAGCAGAGCUGGGUCUGGUUAAUACUUGGAUGGGAGACUAUCAGAAUAUCAGGAGCCACAGUGG